rnacentral:ncRNA from 1 species
GCGGGGAUCAAAACACGGCCCGGUUGGUAGUCCGGGCGCGGCGGUAGCCGUCAGUAACCUGCCUCCUAAGGUUGUCCGUUCCCCG